UCGGUUCUAGAGAUAAGGUACCCGAACCAGCAGAUUCCUCAAUCCUCACCCAUUAUAGGCUCAUACAGAUCGAGUUCGGUUCGGGGGGAUACAUUUCCCUAUGACCAUGCGGAGAUGAAGAUCUCACGAAAUCAUAGGUACGGAUGUACCCCGGAAGCAAUCCACUAGCCCAUGCGGAGGUGAAAACCUCACGAAAGCGUAGUUUC
rnacentral:lncRNA from 1 species